rnacentral:rRNA from 1 species
AGGCAGCAGUGAGGAUAUUGGUCAAUGGRCGAGAGCCUGACCCAGCCAAGUAGCGUGAAGGAUGACUGCCCUAUGGGUUGUAAACUUCUUUUAUAWRGGAAUAAAGUMKGSYAUGKRURCCCGUUUGCAUGUACUUUAUGAAUAAGGAUCGGCUAACUCCGUGCCAGCAGCCGCGGUAAUACGGAGGAUCCGAGCGUUAUCCGGAUUUAUUGGGUUUAAAGGGAGCGUAGAUGGAUGKUUAAGUCAGUUGUGAAAGUUUGCGGCUCAACCGUAAAAUUGCAGUUGAUACUGGAUAUCUUGAGUGCAGUWGAGGYRGGCGGAAUUCGUGGUGUAGCGGUGAAAUGCUUAGAUAUCACGA